CCAAGGAGCGAUUUUGUUGGGGCUAGGACCGCCGUAAUGUUUAAUAGGGGCAGUCGGGGGGAUCUUUUUUCAAUUGUCUCAGGUGAAUUUCUUGGAUUUUUUGAAGACUACCUACUGCAAAAGCAUUUGCCCCGGAUGUUUUCAUUAUUCUGGAACAAAAGUUUGGGGAUCGAAGACGAUUAGAUACCGCCGUAGUCUUAACCAUCCACUAUGCCGAUUAGGGAUCGGACGGCGUUAUUUUUUGACCCGUUCGGCCCUUCUAAUAAUCAAACUGAUUGGGCUCCUGGUGGAGUGAGGUCGCACGGCUGAAACUUACUAAAUUGACGAGAGGGCACGCCCCCCGAGGAGCGUGCCGCUCAUUUGACUCAACACGGCGAAACUCACCCUCCCCAGACACGAUGAUGAUAGGGGAUUGACAUUUCUCUCUUGCUUUCUGGGGCGGCGGGGCAUGGUCGUUCUUCCUGCUGGAAGAUUUGGCUGCUUGCCUGGAUAUCACAACGAGACCUA
rnacentral:rRNA from 1 species